GCGCCUUCAUUAGGAGGGGCGAGUUGACACAAGGUAAAGACGAGGCGGAGACGCCGUUGUGUGGGUGCGCGGAGAACCCUCAUUAAAUGUCGCUAACGGGCCGUGCACAUGCCCUGAUUGGACAGCUCCCGCGGGAUGCCCACUUAAUGAGACCACACAAUAAGGGAAAGAAACAAAACAUUCACGGUCCAACACGGUGCGCUCUGCUAGAGUGGCUCAACCAUUUGUCAUCGACAAGCAGGAAGUUCUGAAACGGACUGAGAGCGAUAAGGCACGUGUUAAGUGUGUGAAUUUCCU
rfam:Astyanax mexicanus chromosome 25, whole genome shotgun sequence.